ACCUGGGUGGCUCAGUCGGUUGAGCAUCUGACUUCAGCUCAGGUCAUGAUCUCACGGUUCAUGGGUUUGAGCCCCACGUCAGGCU
rnacentral:tRNA from 1 species